GUUAAAAUAUAGUACGUGGCCCCUUUAAGAGUUAGGUUCCGGUUGUUUUCCUUCAGUUCGCGGUAAGCGCAGCUGGGGAAAGAUCAAUGUUGAAAUUGUGGAGAAAGGCCACGGAUUGACACUUUUUCAUACAUUUUCCUUUUUAUUCAUUCAG